AACAGUGGUGUGUGGAAAUUCGAAAAAAAUCGAGAGUAACUAAAUAGAGUAAUUAUUAUAUCAAAAAUGAAAUAGUGGAAUGUCUAAACUGUUAUUAGUGCAUUUUAUCAAGUGGCGCAGGUGUUUUUUGCGAAUUUUAUGUCCAAGGGCGAGCCCUCGAAAGCCGCGGAUUUUUUACAAUCGGCGGGACCUAUGUAAAAUAGAAUUUAUACUCACUUGCUAAUACAAAAGAGAUAGAUGUCAACAACCGACCAGCAGGAUAUCGCAAUGACUUUAUGUGUGAAGUCAUAGUGGAUGAUGGACUGGAUGAAUAUUACAUCCAAAUAAUCCUCGACUUAAUUCCCCACAUGAUACUCGAACUGGUGGAUCAAGUUGUGUGAUCCACCAGUCGCAUUGAAGGAAGAAAUUGUCUGAUUUGUGAAGAGUGUGAAGUAGAAGAUUAUUUUAAAAUGUUGUAUAAGAAUAUAAAUAGUUUUGGUUCGGGAUCAUAGUGGUGCACCUAUGACUCGUCUAGGGUCACAUACGAACUAAGAAAGUUUUCUUUGUUUGUUUGUUGGUACUUUUCCAAAAGACGCUCAAAAUGACUCCAUCCUCGUUGAGCUGGACAACUUAUCACCACCUAGGUUACUACCACCAGCCAAUAAGGAGUUGUUCCAACGUCAUGAUACAACCACCAAGAGGACGAGCAGGCACUGAGAAGAACCUCACCCUCAAACAAUAAGAGGUCGAAACCGAACCAACUUCUUCAACCUUAAGAAAGAGUGAGGAAAAUGAUUCGCCAGGCAAAUGCAUCGGUUGGAACAGAGUUGUAGGGAUUAAUCCAUCCCUACAUGGCGCUUGGAGGAAAGAAGUCAAGUUUUAAAAAAGAAUCCUAUUUUAGCCGAGACGAUUAUUAAUGACCUCUUCAAAUAGGAGGAUGAAUUGGAGAGGAAAGUAAAACAACAAAGUCACGAGGAGACAAUCCUCCAAGUGCAAAUAAAGGAGGAGAAUAGAUGUAGUAAAAUAAUUUUAAAUAUUAUGGUAGGUUUAUAAAAAAAAUAUGUUAGAUUAGUUAGUUAUAGUUAAAGUUUAUUUUCUAAUUGUUAAAAUAACAAAAAUCUAAUCUACGAGGGAAGUCAGCAUCUCGUAGUUCUUGAACUAACUGCAUGAGAUAGGGAUGAAAUUUACUAGUUUUUAAAAUUCUAGAAACAGAAGAUUGGCUUAUGCCCACUUCUCUUGCAAUUGCUCUUUGCCCAAUAUGCCGAUUUUGUUCAACAGUCUCCAACACCAGAAUUUCCUUUUCUAAACUAGUCGCAGUUCGUAUACGCUUACUUGCAGGCCAAUUGUGACACAAACACAUUUCCAGUCGUUUAAAAAUUUUAUGCGUAGGAUGUAGAUACUCGUUCUGGAUUUUGCCGAGCGUACAGUUGGAGACAAAAUACUUUGGUCGUCACUUUUCUGACACUUUACUGUAAUUCAAGCUUUAACGUUAAAAUGAAUGACAAUUUCAAAUUAAUGACAGCUAUUAUAUUUUCCUAUCAA